rnacentral:rRNA from 2 species
UUGACCUCAAAUCAGGUAGGACUACGCGCUGAACUUAAGCAUAUCAAUAAGCGCAGGAAAAGAAAAUAACCAUGAUUCCC